UAGCGUAAUCACUUGUUCUUUAAUUGAGGACUAGUAUGAAUGGCCCCACGAGGACUACACUGUCUCCUUUCUCUAAUCAAUGAAACUGAUCUCCCCGUGAAGAAGCGGGGAUAAACCUAUAAGACGAGAAGACCCUAUGGAGCUUUAAACAACAGAAAUACUUGCUUCUUUCCUACCAUUUCCUGAAAACUAAAUUAAUUCAAGCAUUUUAUCUCCCAGUUUUAGGUUGGGGUGACCACGGAGAAAAAAUAAACCUCCAUGUUGAAAGAAGCCUUCCACCUUCUAAGCAAAAAGACACAACUUUAUGCAUCAACACAUUGACUCCCAUUGACCCAAUAAUUUGAUCAACGAACCAAGUUACCCUAGGGAUAACAGCGCAAUCUACU
rnacentral:rRNA from 1 species